rfam:Deinococcus deserti VCD115, complete genome.
AAGCACUCGGGACGCGAUGACCCCCACCCCUCUCCGGCGCCUGUCAUUCGGGUGCACGCGGUCACCUCAGGUGGGGCGAGCCAGUGGUGAGACCGACCCGUGUGGGG